ensembl:lncRNA
GCCAGAUUCAGAGACUGCUUUCUCUUUGAGUCAUCCUUUAAAUUUUUUUUUUUAAUUUCUGUUCUGGUGUUCCUCAUUCUUUCAAUGCUUAGAAAUAAUCCCACAAAAAUGGGGAAAGGAAGAAGGAAAAAACCAUAGAGUGAAAAGUGCCAAUGUGAUGAUUGGAGCAAAAUGCUAUGCUGAUGGCUUUGAGGAAGAAAGAAGGUAAAUGAUCCAAUGAAUGCAUCUGGAGAAGACUUAAAAAAUGGCAAUAAAAUGAAUUCUAAUCUAGAGCCUUGAGAUAGAGCAUUAUCUACAACAACCAAGAAACAGAAAUGACUUAAGUGCCCAUCAAUGAAUGAGUGGGUAAAGAAGAUGUGGUAUAUAUAUGAAAUGGAAUAUUAUUUCACCAUGAGAGGAUCCUGCCAUAUACAACAUGGAUGGAAAUGAAAAUUAAAAGGUGUACAGCAAAGUGAAUCAGUUAUGUAUGUGUGUAUGUGUGUGUUCUCAGUCCAUCAGUUGUGUCUGACUUUUUGUGAUCCCAUGGACUGUAGUCUACAAGGCUCCUCUGUCCAAGGAAUUUUCCAGUGGUCAUAUAUGGAUGUGAGAGUUGGACUGUGAAGAAAGCUGAGUGCCGAAGAAUUGAUGCUUUUGAACUGUGGUGUUGGAGAAGACUCUUGAGAGUCCCCUGGACUGCAAAGAAAUCCAACAAGUCCGUUCUGAAGGAGACCAACCCUGGGAUUUCUUUGGAGGCAUCAAAGGAUGACUAAACAAUUCUCAUCAAUAUAUUCUGCUGCUUGUCAAAUUCAAACUUGGAAACAGGCCGCUCUUGGCUUGAUCCAAAACACUGGAACCCAUUGUGAAGAUCAGC